AAACAAAAAUUUCAGAUGAACCAGUGGUUAGAGUUAAAACGUGAGAGCUACUAUACAAAUGCACGUCUCUACUUCAAAAUUUUACGCAUAACAUGGAACGAACAGUGAAAAAUUCUAACAUUAGCUAAGAAGUGAGAGAUGAACAUUUUUAUUUGUGGCCGUCAACUUAAAAGUCUACACGAGUCAAAAUGCGUGUUUUACGGGCGCUAGUAAAUUCCGCCGAAAAUGGGUAAAUUCCGCCGAUUUUCCAUCCACCGAAAGUGUAAAUUCCGCCGAUAGGUGCCACCGAGCGAGUGUAAAUUCCGCCGAUGGAGGAAAAGGAAAAUGUUUUUGGAACGGCACUCAUAUUCGGCAAGAGCAUCAAGUUAAGAUGUUAUCUGUUUGAAGGUAGAUCUGCGCUCAAAGCCGAGGAGUUGCACUUUGAUGAUAUCAGUAAAACUGAUAGCGGAUGGUUUGGGACGGAACGCGGAAUGUACAUGAACUCUGACUUCAGUAGCCGAAAAGAUGGAGCCGAGAGUGUCCGUUAUGACAAGUGAGAAGGGGAAAUUUAUUAUUCUGCGGGACGGUUUUAAAUUUUAUAGAAAGGCUGUGUACGUCCGGAUUCAAAGUGUCGGGUCUCCAGCCAAGCUUCGGUCAGACGUCAAAAGGCAAAAAGCACACGUAGACAAUGCAAUUAUGAAAUUUAAAAUUCACCAAGACCGUUUCAAAUUUGUUAAAACAGUUUCAUACCGUUUCAGCACAGUGAAAAAGUGAAAAACUGUUGGUCUUCUUACGACAUGGGUCUCUUUUUUGUUUUAUUUUUUGACGUGGGGCUCUCUACACCCUAAAUGUUUAUUUUCUACGCUCUCCUCUCCGACUUCAACUCAUAGACAUAGAGGUUUCGUGGAUUUCACUGAGACUGAGAAGCAUGCCGGCCGGUGCGAAUGGCCAUGCCGUUUGGGGCAGUGGCAACCCUUGAUAGUUUGCAAAACUGUUUUUCUUCCAUUCAAAGAUAGAUGGGUGCAGCGACAAAAGUUGAUACACGAAUUCAGAAGUUGGGUUUGGCAACGAUGGAUAGAAACUAAAAGCGGAUGAUUUCACCGUAGACCACGACUGCAAGCAGAUACAUUUCACUUCUCGACUUACUGUCAAUUAGAAAAACGCGGCUAGACCAUGGGCCACCGAAUCGACUCAUCGUCUGUAACCUUCAUGCGAAAAUCAGGUAAAAGGCCGCGAACGGGCACAUGCACGAAGCACGAUUGUACGAUCGGCACUUUCAAACCUAAGUAACUAUUAAAAAUAUAUAUGCGAAGGUUGAUCAAUCUCAGGGUUUAACUUUAAAUUGACCAUCACCUUUUUUCUCAUAAAGGUAAAAUUUAAAACUCUAUUUAAUCGUAGAGAAGGAGAUUUAAUAAAAAUAUGGGUAAACAGGGCUAAAAAAUUACAAACACUAAAAAGCAGGACGUUUUGAGCUGUUACCAGCUCAUUUUCAGCUGCAAAAACACAUGAAAACAAGUACAAAAUUAAGUGGCGACCUGACCCCAGCCGUUAUCACGUAACCACUAAUCUUAUUUACUUCGCUUCACUUUUUUUUUAUUAAAUCUCCUUCUUUAUUCGUAUAUUCGGGCUAUAUUUUUGUGUUUUAUCGUUUAAUCGUAAAUAAAUGUAACAAGUACCUACUUGACGAAAAAAAGGACCUAGGUUCCGAAAAACUCAAAACUGCGCUGAUUAUAUGUGUAACUGCUUGUAGAAACGUUUCACAAAAAUUUAGGCACUUGAGGAAAAAGAAAAAAAAUGUCCCUACAAAUGUCCACCAAAAAUUCCAAAAAUGAAGAUAAAAUGGUUUAAGUUAUGGUUCAAAAAACCUGCAGGCGGCCCUUCAGCCUGGUUCAACCGGAACUAAGUACUACCAAUUCUUUCGCUCGAACAUAGUGGGAAAAACAACAUCUUUGCGAAAACAUAACUUCCAUCGCUCUUUUUUUUCUCUUGUUUUGUUUGUUGAAAAGUUGGGGCAUAAAGGGACCCUGAUAUUUCCGCAGUCAGAAUAAGGAGCGUUCUACGUGAGUUUAUGCGCUCCGAGUCCUCGGAACCCUAAAAAUUGGUUCUAACUCUUAUUUACGUAUUGGGCGAACUAAGGUGAUUGAGAGGAGGGGUUUUCAUGGGACAACUUUUUGUUUUUUGCGAGAGUUAAGUAAUAUUGAGCAGCUACAAAAAUAAUUAAGGCUCUUGUCCUAGAGUGGUCAUUCCCUUACUCCCUGGGGGAGUCUUCUCAGGGGAAGGGGGCCCCUCUUACCCCUUCCCACCAGAACCCUAACUUACCUAGACCCUAGCUUUUGAUCAUGUGUGCUUUCAUAGGAGCUACUGUUGAUGUCUUUACUUUUUGGUUUAUUUUGUAUGAGGUUCCUACGCAAAUGGGAAUGGUUCUUUGGGAUACCUACCUAAUUUAAAAAAAAAAAAAAAAAAAAAAAAAAAAAAAAAAAAAAAAUCCUGCUGAUUAAGUAAGUAGAUAUUAACUUCUUUUAGGGGGAAAACCAGUUAUGAAAUUUUUUUCAAAUUUUGUUUCUAAAACAAUGUGUUUGAAAUAAGUAUCUGAUAAGCCUUUCGUCAAUUAUUUUAUAGAAGUAUCAGGAAUCAACCAGCGGGUCGAUUAUUGAAAUUUAAACCAGCCCGAUAAGACAUCGAAUUGCGAUAUAUUGCACGGUUAAGAUAGGGCUAUGUCUUGUCGUAAGCGGCGACAUAGAGUCAAUGACAUUUCAAUAAUCUCCCUGCAGGAAAGCUUGUUGAAGAUGUUUCCAACAGAUCCUGAGAAAAAGGUGCAUACACAACAUCUCAUGAAACAUCUUAAAGACAUGGCCUGGAGUACGGAUUAUUACGCCGAUCAGCCACUGAUGAAGCAUAGCGAUGGCGAAAAUGUGAAACAAUAUAUCUCCAUUUGCGACAUUGCCGACUUCCUGUCAUACUUUAUUUUUUAAUAAAACAAGUCGAUGUUCCUACUUAAUUUCUUGAAAACUUUCUUGAUUUUUCUGUUUAUCAGCACAAUAUCCUCCAUUAGUUUCAAGCUAUAAAGUUGGCUUAUUGCUCUUCAAAAAAUAAAAGAGGAGUUGAGAUUUCCAAACAUCACAACAGAGAUAUGAUGUUGCGCAUUUUGGCCAUUGGAACGCACUGACCAAAUCUAAUGCGUCGUAAGUGUAAUACAGCCUCAUACUCGGCAACACCUGUAGUUUGAUGGUAAAACUGCAGAAAUGCGUAUCCUGGUUUGCGACGUUUCAAACUCCCUGUCAAUCUUUGUUUUCUACGUGGAAAAUUUCUGGACGCUACUUUUUGAAAAUUUCUGUGCUUUGGCUUCACUUUAUAAAGAAUAUUCUAUGAAAACAGUAAGCUUUCAUGUUGGUUUGGUCUCUUUUUAAUAAGAUAGGAGAGAUUUCAAAACACAGCAACCGAGUUGCGCAUUCUUGCAGUUUCACCGGCGAUUUACACAAAAGGAUCUCAACCAUCCUCUCUAAAGGGUAAUCUACAUUCAGAUGGUGUGAAGGCAUUAAGAGCCUCCCAGUUUGAUGGAAGUUUCUUCAUGUUGCAUUAAUUACAUGUUGGUUGGCAAGAAAGAUGUAGAUCUUUGCUGAAGGAUAAGUAAGUAUGCAACUAGCAACAAGUUGUUCGUUUGGUUGAAGUUGCUAUUAAGGAAAGUGUGUCUGUCAAUAAUGUCUUUGAAACAAAGUGUGUUUCUGGUAAAUUAAGUGAAUAAAAUGUUGGUUAAUAAGCUGCUGAGAAGUAAAAAAGGCUGUCAUAGCUGACAGAUAUAAAUUCAAUGGAUCCCGACCACAGAUUUCAAAACUAUGCACAUCCAAAUCUGCUGAACCCUGGCUUCAACAAGAUUCAAGAAAAAUUAAAUUGCAUGCUCUGUCUAAAUGAUAAAUACUUCGGGCUAGAAUGCGGCUGAAAAGGAGGUAAGUAUCUGGCCCGUACCUUUGUUUACUUAGCACAUGCCAUAGUGAUAAGAGAUAAGAAAAUGGGUGCACUUACCAGGGAUUGCAAAGAGUGAGGCAGAACACUUGAAGAUAACGAGAGAAACUAUCGAGUAUGUAGUGUCCCUUCUACUAAAAGCAAGAGGGCAACGACAGAAACAACUGAAAUAUUCCUUUGUUGCAGGAGGAUCGUUGCUACUACAGACUAACGACCAACAGUGACCCUCUUCUCCACGAGUGCGAAAAGAGCAACGUACGUUUUGAAAUACGGUUACCAAAUGUCACUCGGCGUUUUGAUCACAGACAAAAAACGAAUCGGUAAAAGACUUCUUUCCAAAAACACUCCGAAAUAAACACUGAAACUGUCACCAAUCCUUCGUUACCGGUUAUCUCCGCAACUCCGCGCGUGUUUUGCUCGCGACUGCUGAAUCUGUUGCAUGAAUAUACACGCUGAACGAACAGCCAGCCAAUAGGUGGAGGGGGAUUCAAACGAACUUAGUAAAACCGCCACAAGAGCGCGGGAGUGGGUUAAAGUAGCGAUAUGCAAUGGAUUACUUUAUGCAGAAUCUGGAAUAUCUUGAGUUGAAUAAAUAUGUAUGUACAUAGGCGGUUCUAGACUUUCAUGCUUGGGGGUGCCCAGAGGUGGAAAAUGUCGGAGACCGGUUCCGAAGGGGACGGUCGCUCAGGGGAGGCCCAAG